GAUGAGGGAAUCCCAAGUGCUUGCUCGUAAGAGUAAGCUGUUUUUAUGUCUAAAAAGCAUAGAGAGUAAGGGCUGGGUAAGACGGGUGCCAGCCGCCGCGGUAAUACCUGCAGCUCAAGUGGUGAUCAUUAUUAUUGGGCCUAAAACGUCCGUAGCCGGUUUGGUAAAUGCCUGGGUAAAUCGUGUAGCUUAACUAUACGAAUUCCGGGUAGACUGCCAAACUUGGGACCGGGAGAGGCUAGAGGUACUCCUGGGGUAGAGGUGAAAUUCUGUAAUCCUAGGGGGACCACCAGUGGCGAAGGCGUCUAGCUAGAACGGGUCUGACGGUCAGGGACGAAGCCCUGGGGCGCGAACCGGAUUAGAUACCCGGGUAGUCCAGGGUGUAAACGCUGCUUGCUUGAUGUUAGUUGGGCUCCGAGCCCAAUUAGUGUCGGAGAGAAGUUGUUAAGCAAGCUGCCUGGGAAGUACGGUCGCAAGACUGAAA
rnacentral:rRNA from 1 species